UCAAAACAAAGCGCAGCCGCAGCAAGCAGAAGCAGGGGCGGGAAAGAAACAACCAUGGCAGAGCCGCAGAGGCCUUCAAAGAUGAUUCCAUCUUAUCUCUGUUUAACAAAAGCUAUCGUUUUCUCCGCAUGUUUGUGGCUGGACAUUUAAACAAGCACCUUGCCUCCAUAAGCAACUUUCCCUGACAAAUGACCUGAUAGGCCCAUUGGAUGCAGUUCCAUUGAUCUCUAUCUGCCGGAAGCCUCAAAAUAUUAGAGAACAAAGGCCCUGCAUUGAUGGAAAUGAAGAACUGAAGAAAUCGGAAAUGCUUGAGGUUUCCUGAAAUUGGUUGCUGCUUACGGGUGAUGUCAUCUGACUGCAUAAUAUGAAUCCAAAGUACCAUUUAGUAUGAAAGCGUAAUGAUUUUCCAAUCAUCUUAGGUCCCAGAAGCUUUCUAGAUGGCGUUGAAAAGUCGAUAAGCAGGUUACUUCAAGCAAGCAAAGUCCUUAAUUUGCCAUGUCCAAUAUUGGGCAGUGCUGGAGUAAUCAAUGGCUAAGGUACUAAUUUCAUGCUUCUAAUCUUUUUUUACCUGCCUAAUUAAGUUCUUUAAAAAAUGAUUUUCUAGUCUUUCUAUGUGCUUUUCAAAAGGUAUUGGUCCCGUCAUUUAAUAUAUAAAAUAUUUGUGGGGCAAUUGACAUGCUUUUUCUACGCGAAACAAUUUUGAAGUUUUGACUUUUCAGCUGUCAAAAGUUGACAUUUGACUAUGUAGGGGUUGGUAUGCCUCGAGAAUUCUUGGUUAGUACACACUGAGAAAAUAAAAUUCAUCACACUACCAAACUUUUACUCAAUCACGGUUAAAGUUAAAGUUUAAAUAUGUGAUAUGUAAAAAUUCUCUGUUUUGAAGUGCAACUAUAUGGUAAACUUUGUGAUGUCUUCUUUUUUUUUUUUUUUUUUUAAUUUUUUCUAACUUUUUGGUCUCAUGGAGAAGAAAAACUAACUACUGCAACUCAGUUGCUUGUCAAGUAUGAGUCUUUAAUUUAUGGUCAACCGAGUUGCUUUUUAUUGCAUUUGAUGUGAGUGUGCAAGUGGCCUAACAACUACAAUAAUAAUGCAAGUGAAAUUUCUUUAACUUUUCUCUAGGAGAAAGUUUGGAUUUGAAUUCUCAUCGUCGCAUACUGUGUAUUAUAAGUAAUCAACUUAAGUGAGUGUUUAAAUUCUUUGGAAAAAAAAAGUGAGUGUUUAAAUUUGAUGAAAAAGUAAAGAUAGAUUAACUUAGUUAGGCCUCAAAUUGAAUUCUCCCUGCAAAUUAUAAUAUUGCUUUAAGUCAAUAGGCUUAUCAACGGAGAUCUCCAUAUAUUUACUUGGUCGUCAAAUUCAUCCAUGAACGUGUUAGUGAUUUUAGCAUAUAAUGGGAUCACCUGCAAGUUACUUAUUUAUUUAUGUUUUCCACUAAGAGGGUUCCUCUUUACUUCAAAUAUUGGUGCAUAUUUUUAAUUACCAAAUAUAUUAUGUUUCAUUUUCCCAUGAUUACUAUCCCAUUAUAAUUGACAGUGGAAUUAAAAGCCUUCUUGCUCCUAUCUAGGCAUGCCAAAUCUUUUUACCUGGCACUAAUUUGUGGUGUACAGUGAUUUGGGUAUUUUCUAUAUAUUAUAAUCUCACUUUCUUUUGGUCAUCAGCCACAAUCUACUAAUUAGUGACUUCAUAAUCAGUGACCUUAUAGAAUCACUGUUUAAAUGUCUAAACCUUCUAUUUCUAUUUCUCCUUUAAAGAAUUAAUAUUUUCUUCAUCCCUUAUGAAUCAAAGUGUUGAAACGUGACUAAUUUUAGAAUUGACAUAGCUCAAUUUUAAUUUUUGUUUUAUUUAAACAUACUCAUAAUUAUGAAUA